UUUAAAAAAAAAAACAUUUUAUUGCACAUCUAGAGUUUUAUAUAAAUGUCUUGAGUGUGUGUCCUUAAAGCUUCCGAAUUUUGUGUGUGAGGAGAUUGUGAAAAACGCAGCUUGUUUACGAAAGGGGAAGGGUUAUCACUAUUUAAACCAGGAUUUAUUUGGGACCAGGUGUUAGUUCAGUAGCAGUCUGAGAAUUGAGCUAUUUGCACACAGAUUACUAGAUUCUACUUUUGCUGCUAGUUUGUGUAAUUUAUUAAGCAUUUUUGAGAAAUAUUUAUUUUUAUAAGCCUAAAGUGAUAGUUUAAGGAACUUGACCAAAAGACAGUACAAAAACACUGGCACUUGAAUGUUGAAUGUCAACGGUAUGCGUGGAAAUUUAUAUUUUUCGGGGUAGUGUGAGCUUUUUAAUGUCAGUCAUAUUGGACUCAAAUCAAAAUCCACACCUGUUACUUCUAGUAGUACUGGCCACACCGUCUAAUCAACCUUAACGUUUAAUUGGCGAACAAAAUUUGAAACAAACAACCAAUGCCAAGGUUUGGAUAAAAGUGAUAACAUUUUCUAAAAAAUAUUGUACCAGUGCAAGAAGUGUCCAGAUUCUCUCCAAUUCAAUUUGCUUUUCCUUGUUUUUGAGGGUUUUCUUCCCUCCCCCAGCAAAUGUCUGGCACAUGGCAAUCUUAAAGAAAGAAAACAUGUGGCUCUGCUCUGUUGUUGUAUUUGCUUUAUGUACUAGUUUAGAGGCUGUGCACUGCACGAGAAAACACCUGUGCAUUUAUUGUAUGAUUUUACCAAAAUUAAAAGUUUUGACUUGCAAAUACUUAACCAACUUUUGUAUUUUGUCUUUGCAUAUCAUGUGGCCGGAGUUUAACAUUCAAGCCUGCGCUAUGAAGUUAUUUAUUGACUAUGAUAAAUACAGUGCCUUGCGAAAGUAUUCGGCCCCCUUGAACUUUGCGACCUUUUGCCACAUUCAGGCUUCAAACAAAGAUAAAACUAUUUUUUUAAUGAAGAAUCAACAAGUGGGACACAAUCAUGAAGUGGAACGACAUUUAUUGGAUAUUUCAAACUUUUUUAACAAAUCAAAAACUGAAAAAUUGGGCGUGCAAAAUUAUUCAGCCCCUUUACUUUCAGUGCAGCAAACUCUCUCCAGAAGUUCAGUGAGGAUCUCUGAAUGAUCCAAUGUUGACCUAAAUGACUAAUGAUGAUAAUUACAAUCCACCUGUGUGCAAUCAAGUCUCUGUAUAAAUGCACCUGCACUGUGAUAGUCUCAGAGGUCCGUCAAAAGCGCAGAGAGCAUCAUGAAGAACAAGGAACACACCAGGCAGGUCCGAGAUACUGUUGAGAAGUUUAAAGCCGGAUUUGGAUACAAAAAGAUUUCCCAAGCUUUAAACAUCCCAAGGAGCACUGUGCAAGCGAUAAUAUUGAAAUGGAAGGAGUAUCAGACCACUGCAAAUCUACCAAGACCUGGCCGUCCCUCUAAACUUUCAGCUCAUACAAGGAGAAGACUGAUCAGAGAUGCAGCCAAGAGGCCCAUGAUCACUCUGGAUGAACUGCAGAGAUCUACAGCUGAGGUGGGAGACUCUGUCCAUAGGACAACAAUCAGUCAUAUAUUGCACAAAUCUGGCCUUUUUUUUUUUUUUUAUUUUUUAUUUCACCUUUAUUUAACCAGGUAGGCUAGUUGAGAACAAGUUCUCAUUUGCAACUGCGACCUGGCCAAGAUAAGGCAUAGCAGUGUGAACAGACAACACAGAGUUACACAUGGAGUAAACAAUUAACAAGUCAAUAACACAGUAGAAAAAAGGGGAGUCUAUAUAUACAUUGUGUGCAAAAGGCAUGAGAAGGUAGGCAAAUAAUUACAAUUAUGCAGAUUAACACUGGAGUGAUAAAUGAUCAGAUGGUUACGUACAGGUAGAGAUUGGUGUGCAAAAGAGCAGAAAAAUAAAAAUAAAUAAAUAAAAACAGUAUGGGGAUGAGGUAGGUGAAAAUGGGUGGGCUAUUUACCAAUAGACUAUGNNNNNNNNNNCAGUGACGGCUAUGGAGGAAACUACUCUCAUCAGGGGGGAGUGGACUGGUGGGGCAACUAAACAUCCCUCCAACCCUAUCCCCAUCUACCUACACCCCCACCCCCCACCCCCCAUCGCAGUGGGUCGCGCCACACCAAACUCACUGAUAAGGAAACCACAUGUGUAACCUAAGCCAGACUAUAUAAACCCCUGUGUAGCUUCCAAACAGACUGCAGUACAUUACCAGCUGUGAUUCUCUGACCGCUUAUCCAAAAAAUGGAGCUGAGAGACGGGGGACCGAGUGGACAGCUGACCAAGAGGAAAGCUGGAGCCACUGAGCGAUUCCUAAAGAAACAUGGCACCGCCAGGCUCUGGAAUCAUCGUGUGGCCGCCCGUAGUGACUAUAGCGUAUUUAGGAU
rnacentral:lncRNA from 13 species